UUAAAGUGGUGCAAAAUACGCGCCCUGCAAAAUAAGAUAUUAACCGACGUCAACGCGUCGGUUAUUUUUUUGC
rnacentral:sRNA from 21 species